AAAACAAGAACUUACACAAGCUAAGUGAAAGGGGCGGCAAUGGCUCUUCUUGGCAACAACGAGAAUCACUCUUGGAUGUCCAAAACUUCAUAUUCUGGGUUGGAAAAUUAAGGGGGAAAUUUUAGAAAGAUUGAGGGAAGGAUGGUGCAAGAUCUUGUGGAAAAAGAAAAGAAAAAUAGAUGGUGGUGUAGGGGGCUUGGAAUGUGGCAACAAAGGAGAAAGAAAGAAAAAAAAUUGAAAAGAAAAGAGGAGAGGAAGAG
rnacentral:lncRNA from 1 species